CCAGCCAUAGCUCAGUUGGUAGAGCGGAGGACUGUAGGAUGGACGCUGACAUCCUUAGGUCGCUGGUUCGAAUCCGGCUGGUUGGA
rfam:Ascaris suum AG00187, whole genome shotgun sequence.